UCAAACAUAUAAUUUAGUAUAAAAGUGGCCAUACUGCAGUUGUGAGCAGCGAACCUUUAUCAACAUUGUUUAUGAUCACAAUCCAAUUCAAUAAUUACAAAAAAAGUUUUUAUUUAGAGUAAUAAUCUAUGGACUGAGAUGAUAUCAAACUCUACCAUUCGAUAGCAAUAUAUAACAGAAAAACCCACGGCUAAUAUAAUAUACUAUCAGUGGUUAAAAAUAAAACGUAAAAUAUGAUCAACAAAAUUCAAAAUAUUUUGCUUUCAAAUCAUAAAGUUUG